GGGUUGUGAGGUUAAGCGACUAAGCGUACACGGUGGAUGCCCUGGCAGUCAGAGGCGAUGAAGGACGUGCUAAUCUGCGAUAAGCGUCGGUAAGGUGAUAUGAACCGUUAUAACCGGCGAUUUCCGAAUGGGGAAACCCAGUGUGAUUCGUCACACUAUCAUUAACUGAAUCCAUAGGUUAAUGAGGCGAACCGGGGGAACUGAAACAUCUAAGUACCCCGAGGAAAAGAAAUCAACCGAGAUUCCCCCAGUAGCGGCGAGCGAACGGGGAGCAGCCCAGAGCCUGAAUCAGUGUGUGUGUUAGUGGAAGCGUCUGGAAAGGCGCGCGAUACAGGGUGACAGCCCCGUACACAAAAAUGCACAUACUGUGAGCUCGAUGAGUAGGGCGGGACACGUGGUAUCCUGUCUGAAUAUGGGGGGACCAUCCUCCAAGGCUAAAUACUCCUGACUGACCGAUAGUGAACCAGUACCGUGAGGGAAAGGCGAAAAGAACCCCGGCGAGGGGAGUGAAAAAGAACCUGAAACCGUGUACGUACAAGCAGUGGGAGCACGCUUAGGCGUGUGACUGCGUACCUUUUGUAUAAUGGGUCAGCGACUUAUAUUCUGUAGCAAGGUUAACCGAAUAGGGGAGCCGAAGGGAAACCGAGUCUUAACUGGGCGUUAAGUUGCAGGGUAUAGACCCGAAACCCGGUGAUCUAGCCAUGGGCAGGUUGAAGGUUGGGUAACACUAACUGGAGGACCGAACCGACUAAUGUUGAAAAAUUAGCGGAUGACUUGUGGCUGGGGGUGAAAGGCCAAUCAAACCGGGAGAUAGCUGGUUCUCCCCGAAAGCUAUUUAGGUAGCGCCUCGUGAAUUCAUCUCCGGGGGUAGAGCACUGUUUCGGCAAGGGGGUCAUCCCGACUUACCAACCCGAUGCAAACUGCGAAUACCGGAGAAUGUUAUCACGGGAGACACACGGCGGGUGCUAACGUCCGUCGUGAAGAGGGAAACAACCCAGACCGCCAGCUAAGGUCCCAAAGUCAUGGUUAAGUGGGAAACGAUGUGGGAAGGCCCAGACAGCCAGGAUGUUGGCUUAGAAGCAGCCAUCAUUUAAAGAAAGCGUAAUAGCUCACUGGUCGAGUCGGCCUGCGCGGAAGAUGUAACGGGGCUAAACCAUGCACCGAAGCUGCGGCAGCGACGCUUAUGCGUUGUUGGGUAGGGGAGCGUUCUGUAAGCCUGCGAAGGUGUGCUGUGAGGCAUGCUGGAGGUAUCAGAAGUGCGAAUGCUGACAUAAGUAACGAUAAAGCGGGUGAAAAGCCCGCUCGCCGGAAGACCAAGGGUUCCUGUCCAACGUUAAUCGGGGCAGGGUGAGUCGACCCCUAAGGCGAGGCCGAAAGGCGUAGUCGAUGGGAAACAGGUUAAUAUUCCUGUACUUGGUGUUACUGCGAAGGGGGGACGGAGAAGGCUAUGUUGGCCGGGCGACGGUUGUCCCGGUUUAAGCGUGUAGGCUGGUUUUCCAGGCAAAUCCGGAAAAUCAAGGCUGAGGCGUGAUGACGAGGCACUACGGUGCUGAAGCAACAAAUGCCCUGCUUCCAGGAAAAGCCUCUAAGCAUCAGGUAACAUCAAAUCGUACCCCAAACCGACACAGGUGGUCAGGUAGAGAAUACCAAGGCGCUUGAGAGAACUCGGGUGAAGGAACUAGGCAAAAUGGUGCCGUAACUUCGGGAGAAGGCACGCUGAUAUGUAGGUGAAGUCCCUCGCGGAUGGAGCUGAAAUCAGUCGAAGAUACCAGCUGGCUGCAACUGUUUAUUAAAAACACAGCACUGUGCAAACACGAAAGUGGACGUAUACGGUGUGACGCCUGCCCGGUGCCGGAAGGUUAAUUGAUGGGGUUAGCGCAAGCGAAGCUCUUGAUCGAAGCCCCGGUAAACGGCGGCCGUAACUAUAACGGUCCUAAGGUAGCGAAAUUCCUUGUCGGGUAAGUUCCGACCUGCACGAAUGGCGUAAUGAUGGCCAGGCUGUCUCCACCCGAGACUCAGUGAAAUUGAACUCGCUGUGAAGAUGCAGUGUACCCGCGGCAAGACGGAAAGACCCCGUGAACCUUUACUAUAGCUUGACACUGAACAUUGAGCCUUGAUGUGUAGGAUAGGUGGGAGGCUUUGAAGUGUGGACGCCAGUCUGCAUGGAGCCGACCUUGAAAUACCACCCUUUAAUGUUUGAUGUUCUAACGUGGACCCGUAAUCCGGGUUGCGGACAGUGUCUGGUGGGUAGUUUGACUGGGGCGGUCUCCUCCUAAAGAGUAACGGAGGAGCACGAAGGUUGGCUAAUCCUGGUCGGACAUCAGGAGGUUAGUGCAAUGGCAUAAGCCAGCUUGACUGCGAGCGUGACGGCGCGAGCAGGUGCGAAAGCAGGUCAUAGUGAUCCGGUGGUUCUGAAUGGAAGGGCCAUCGCUCAACGGAUAAAAGGUACUCCGGGGAUAACAGGCUGAUACCGCCCAAGAGUUCAUAUCGACGGCGGUGUUUGGCACCUCGAUGUCGGCUCAUCACAUCCUGGGGCUGAAGUAGGUCCCAAGGGUAUGGCUGUUCGCCAUUUAAAGUGGUACGCGAGCUGGGUUUAGAACGUCGUGAGACAGUUCGGUCCCUAUCUGCCGUGGGCGCUGGAGAACUGAGGGGGGCUGCUCCUAGUACGAGAGGACCGGAGUGGACGCAUCACUGGUGUUCGGGUUGUCAUGCCAAUGGCACUGCCCGGUAGCUAAAUGCGGAAGAGAUAAGUGCUGAAAGCAUCUAAGCACGAAACUUGCCCCGAGAUGAGUUCUCCCUGACUCCUUGAGAGUCCUGAAGGAACGUUGAAGACGACGACGUUGAUAGGCCGGGUGUGUAAGCGCAGCGAUGCGUUGAGCUAACCGGUACUAAUGAACCGUGAGGCUUAACCUUACAACGCCGAAG
rnacentral:rRNA from 1 species